AUAAUCACCGAAGUCAAGCAUCAUUGGGCGCGGUCAGUACUUGGGUGGGUGACCACCUGGGAACACCGCGUGCCGUU
rnacentral:rRNA from 1 species